rnacentral:rRNA from 1 species
AAAUUGAAGAGUUUGAUCAUGGCUCAGAUUGAACGCUGGCGGCAGGCCUAACACAUGCAAGUCGAACGGUAACAGGAAACAGCUUGCUGUUUCGCUGACGAGUGGCGGACGGGUGCGUAAUGUCUGGGAAGCUGCCUGAUGGAGGGGGAUAACUACUGGAAACGGUAGCUAAUACCGCAUAACGUCGCAAGACCAAAGAGGGGGACCUUCGGGCCUCUUGCCAUCGGAUGUGCCCAGAUGGGAUUAGCUAGUAGGUGGGGUAACGGCUCACCUAGGCGACGAUCCCUAGCUGGUCUGAGAGGAUGACCAGCCACACUGGAACUGAGACACGGUCCAGACUCCUACGGGAGGCAGCAGUGGGGAAUAUUGCACAAUGGGCGCAAGCCUGAUGCAGCCAUGCCGCGUGUAUGAAGAAGGCCUUCGGGUUGUAAAGUACUUUCAGCGGGGAGGAAGGGAGUAAAGUUAAUACCUUUGCUCAUUGACGUUACCCGCAGAAGAAGCACCGGCUAACUCCGUGCCAGCAGCCGCGGUAAUACGGAGGGUGCAAGCGUUAAUCGGAAUUACUGGGCGUAAAGCGCACGCAGGCGGUUUGUUAAGUCAGAUGUGAAAUCCCCGGGCUCAACCUGGGAACUGCAUCUGAUACUGGCAAGCUUGAGUCUCGUAGAGGGGGGUAGAAUUCCAGGUGUAGCGGUGAAAUGCGUAGAGAUCUGGAGGAAUACCGGUGGCGAAGGCGGCCCCCUGGACGAAGACUGACGCUCAGGUGCGAAAGCGUGGGGAGCAAACAGGAUUAGAUACCCUGGUAGUCCACGCCGUAAACGAUGUCGACUUGGAGGUUGUGCCCUUGAGGCGUGGCUUCCGGAGCUAACGCGUUAAGUCGACCGCCUGGGGAGUACGGCCGCAAGGUUAAAACUCAAAUGAAUUGACGGGGGCCCGCACAAGCGGUGGAGCAUGUGGUUUAAUUCGAUGCAACGCGAAGAACCUUACCUGGUCUUGACAUCCACAGAACUUUCCAGAGAUGGAUUGGUGCCUUCGGGAACUGUGAGACAGGUGCUGCAUGGCUGUCGUCAGCUCGUGUUGUGAAAUGUUGGGUUAAGUCCCGCAACGAGCGCAACCCUUAUCCUUUGUUGCCAGCGGUCCGGCCGGGAACUCAAAGGAGACUGCCAGUGAUAAACUGGAGGAAGGUGGGGAUGACGUCAAGUCAUCAUGGCCCUUACGACCAGGGCUACACACGUGCUACAAUGGCGCAUACAAAGAGAAGCGACCUCGCGAGAGCAAGCGGACCUCAUAAAGUGCGUCGUAGUCCGGAUUGGAGUCUGCAACUCGACUCCAUGAAGUCGGAAUCGCUAGUAAUCGUGGAUCAGAAUGCCACGGUGAAUACGUUCCCGGGCCUUGUACACACCGCCCGUCACACCAUGGGAGUGGGUUGCAAAAGAAGUAGGUAGCUUAACCUUCGGGAGGGCGCUUACCACUUUGUGAUUCAUGACUGGGGUGAAGUCGUAACAAGGUAACCGUAGGGGAACCUGCGGUUGGAUCACCUCCUUA